CGGAAACAUUAUUUGAGGUUAUGUUUUGAUGGAACUGAUAACAUAGUAAAAUGUCACAACGAGAAACAAAUCCGAUUUGACAGUACUUUGAUAAAAGUAUCAGUGAUACAUCAAAAGCUGUUUGCAAGUAUUUAUUGUAUUAAAUAAAUGAUUACAAUACCUACAACAAACUGAAUUAAUAUACUGUGUUUCCACUUCAUGCCCUAAUUAAUGCAAAAUAA